UAAAUUUGGGAUGUUUAGGAAGAUUGAAGGAGCUGAGAAAAGCUUGGGCGCUGAAGGAGGAAAUGGAUGCACUUGUGGAUCCAGCUGCUCCUGUGAUCCUUGCACGUGUUGAUGAGAUGAGGGCGUAGGCCCCGGCCGGCACCUGUAACUCUGCUUUAAGUGUGUGAUGAAAUUAUAUUUCAAUAAGACAAGACAUGCAGAUUCACUUGCUGAAUUUGUGUGGAUAUACUCUCUGUUGGUUUCUGUAAAUUCUGUUGAUCGCGUCUAUGCCUACCGGCCGGGGCCUCGUGUUAUGCGUGUAAAGAGUCUUGGAGUGUAUGCAACAAUUCAUAUCAAUACAAACCUCCUUGAUCCGUUGUUGUCUAAUCAUUCAUUCAAACUAAACUUCAUUAAAUCUGCUGCAAUUUUCUUAUAUGGAAUCUUGUUACAUCUUACAUAUGGUUGAAAGAACUCAAAACUUCAACUUCACCCAACUCCAGAGAAGACACUAAUCUUUACAAAUUUGGCACAACCAAUAACAGCAAGAGUAGAACUUGAUCAUGAUUCAUGACAGAUAAUAAG
rnacentral:lncRNA from 1 species